CUACAAGAAAAAUGGAUGACGAAGACCGUUUCAACCGACUUCUGUUCAGACGUUUUUUCUACUUUUGGCGGACAGUUUUGUGGCUAGAAUUAUGGCAAAACUGAUACUGGUUAGGCACUGACUGAAGAGCAGUAUCUAUCAUGGACAAAAGCUUCCUUCAUGAGAAGAUGUUUUUAUCAAGCUCAACUUGGAUUGUCAUAUUUGGGACAACUUUGCAUCACUCCUUCCUUUCUAAGCUACUGCUGGAAAGAAUCAUCAGCCAUCAUGAAACCUUGAUCCAAUCCAGCUGAGGCAGAUCCCAAGCUUCAAUAGAUUCUAUCAAUCCAGAGAACACAACUGUAACUAGAUGAUUGAGGCAGUGUUUACUCUACAUGUAAGGCUCCAGUGUCGUUUCUACAC